AGUGAGGACGGGCUGUGUGGAGCAGCGGAGCUACGGCGCUGCUUCCACGGCUGCUCAGGAGGGGAGCAUGUCUGCAACUCGAGCCAAGAAAGUGAAGAUGGCCACCAAAUCGUGCCCCGAGUGCGACCAACAGAUUCCUGUUGCGUGUAAAUCAUGUCCCUGUGGUUACAUAUUUAUUAGCAGAAAACUACUAAAUGCAAAACAUUCAGAGAAAUCACCACCAUCUACAGAAAACAAGCACGAGGCCAAGAGGAGGCGAACAGAGAGAGUCAGGCGAGAAAAGAUAAAUUCUACAGGAAGUAAAGAUUUAGAAAACAGAAAGAGAUCUCGAAGUAACAGCCAUUCUGAUCAUGUCAGACGAGGAAGGGGAAGACCUAAGAGUACAUCUGCCAAAACACAUGAGGAAGAGAGAGAAAAACAGGAAAAGGAAAUUGACAUCUAUGCUAACCUCUCUGAUGAAAAGGCUUUCGUGUUUUCAGUUGCCUUGGCAGAAAUAAAUAGAAAAAUUAUCAAUCAAAAAAAAAAAAAAAAAGAAUCAACUUUUUUUUAUACACUCCAGAUUUUGUCCUCCUUCUGGUUCACCCUCUGA